rnacentral:misc_RNA from 1 species
AUCAAAAGUUACAGGUUUCUUGCUUUCUCUUCCAUCUCUCUCUAAAGCUUCUCUCUUUCUUUCAACUCCCACAUAGCUCUUGAAGUUUUUUCAAGAAAAACUGCAGCUUUAGCUACACUUCAGGUUUUGGAAUUUUUCUUGAGGAAAGUCUCGAUUGCAGUAUCCACCCAUUUGAUCUGGGUUAUCUGUGUCUACUGAGAUGGUGGAGGAAUAAACAAAUUUGGGAUGUGAAGGAUCGCUUAUCGGAGCCCAUGAUAAGGUCUUGCAAUGGGGUCUCUAAACAUGGAGAAGAAAUGGGUUUUCCCUCUAGUGAUAAGCUCUCUGAUAUGUGUGUUCCUUUUAGCAACUUCCUUCAACAUGGGUCUUAUCUCUUCAUUACAUACUAUCAAACAAAUCUUCAACAUUUUUCCAUCUCGAAACCAAUCAAUGGAAGGCUAUGCUGAAAUGAAGGUUUCACAAACUCCUCCCUCUGAGACUCCUGGAAUUCCUCGAUUUGCUUAUUUGAUUUCUGGGUCUAAAGGUGAUUUGGA